GACACCCAUUCUUCUUUGCUCCACCCUCAUGUCACCUCAGCUAAUAGCCAAUGUAUAUUCAUUAAAUCUCAAUUUUCUCCCUGCUUCUUCUCUCUCCCUCCUCCUCUUCUUCUUUACCCAUUUGUUCUAAUUCAAAGGAAUCAUAUGGUUCUGUUUUGUAAUGCACUUCUUUGUGGAUUAAGCAUGGGUAUGCCGUACCAAAACAUGAUAAUUUAGUAUUUAAAAGUACAAAAGCAUAUACAUUAAUGAAUGCGUAAGUCGGAAAAUUAAUCAUAUAAUUGCAUGAUAAUACCAAUUCAGUUCAUGUUUGGUUCCUUGACUUCAUAUUGGAUCUGUUCAAUAAUCGAGUUUUGAUUCGGAUCUUGCAUGAAUCCAACCCAAUUACACCCUACAAGAGUGUGGCAUUGGAUUGCUGACUUCGUUGUCAUCGUCAUCGACAACGUUGGGGACUGCCGGCAUGGUAGACCAUGCAC
rnacentral:lncRNA from 1 species